rnacentral:misc_RNA from 1 species
GAUGAAGAACGUAGUGAAAUGCGAUAACUAGUGUGAAUUGCAGAAUUCCGUGAAUCAUCGAGUCUUUGAACGCACAUUGCGCCCCCUGGUAUUCCGGGGGACAUGCCUGUCCGAGCGUCAUUGCUGCCCAUCAAGCACGGCUUGUGUGUUGGGUCGUCGUCCCCUCUCCGGGGGGGACGGGCCCCAAAGGCAGCGGCGGCACCGCGUCCGAUCCUCGAGCGUAUGGGGCUUUGUCACCCGCUCUGUAGGCCCGGCCGGCGCUUGCCGAACGCAAAUCAAUCUUUUUCCAGGUUGACCUCGGAUCAGGUAGGGAUACCCGCUGAACUUAAGCAUAUCAAUAAGCGGAGGA